CUGCCUUCAGCCUCCAUUGCUGUGAUGCUCGCUCUCGUCGCGCACACUUUCUCCUUCGUGUCCUUCGUCGUGUCGUUGCGUGGACACGACGAUGACGUCACGUCAGACAGACCUUACGAGGUCUUAUUGAAGCAGAAUUUAGUCACGCUCGGAAGUGUCCUCGGCGUCCUCCUGCUGCUGAUGAUCAUCAUGGCUGUGUGUGUCUACAAGCCUCUGCCCAGGCGGUGACCGCACACUCACAAAACGAAACUUAAAAAAAAAUAAUUCCAAAACCCAACAAGGACGGAGAGACCCCCAACGGCUGCGUGACGUCACUUCCUUUCAUCCCCUGUCAUAUUCAGUGUAUUUAUUAUUCUGUUCAGUUAUCGUAUAUAGUGCUGUCCAAAAAUAAUAUCAUUUUUAAUCGUAUUAAUCGAUAUUAAAUAUAAUUGAUUUAAAAUGUGUUUUAUUUUGCAUUUGCAAAGGGACCAUAUAAAAGGCAUAUAUACAUAUUGCCAAAAGUAUUUGGCCACCCAUCCAAAUGAUGAGAAUCAGCACUUUCGACAUGGAGACUGUUUCUACAAACAUUUGUGAAGGAAUGGGCCGCUCUCAGUGAUUUCCAGCAUGGAACUGUCAUAGGAUGCCACCUGUGCAACAAAUCCAGUCGUGAAAUUUCCUAAAUAUUCCAUAGUCAACUGUUGGCUUUAUUAUAAGAAAAUGGAAGAGUUUGGGAAGAACAGCAUCUCAGCGGUAGGCCACGUAAACUGACAGAAAGGGGUCAGCGGAGAAUAUAUGGUGUGAGGUUGUUUAUCAGGAGUUGGGCUUGGCCACUUAGUUCCAGUGAAAUGAACUUUGAAUGCUCCAGGAUACCAAAACAUUUUGGACAAUUCAAUGCUCCCAACCUUGUGGGAACAGUUUGGAGCGGGCCCCUUCCUCUUCCAACAUGACUGUGCACCAGUGCACAAAGCAAGGUCCAUAAAAUACCUGGAUGCCAGAGUCUGGUGUGGAUGAACUUGACUGGCCUGCACAGAGUCCUGACCUGAACCCGACAGAACACCUUUGGGAUGAAUUAGAACGGAGACUGAGAGCCACGCCUUCUCGACCAAUAUCAGUGUGUGACCUCACCAAUGCGCUUUUGGAAGAAUGGUGGAAAAUUCCUAUAAACACACUCCCCAACCUUGUGGACAGCCUUCCCAGGAGAGUUGAAGCUGUAAUAGCUGCAAAAGGUGGGCGGACAUCAUAUUGAACCCUAUGGGUUAGGAAUGGGAUGGCACUUCAAGUUCAUAUGUGAGUCAAGGCAGGUGGCCAAAUACUUUUGGCAAUAUAGUGUAUAUGUACUUAAUGAAUUUAUUUAUUUUGUAUUGUUUGACUUAACAGCUUUAACAUCUUUUAUUCACUUGAAUGUGGUUAUUAAUGAGCUAUUUUUAGAUGGGAAUUUACAUAGUGUGCAUCAUUUAUAUUGGUAGAUGCUUGGCUGUUUUUUUUUUUUUUUUGACUGCUCAUUUGCUACGAUAACACUACUUAGACCAGUGGUUCUCAAAACUUUUUUCACCAAGUACCACCUCAGAAAACAUUUAAUUGGCUCUCCAAGUGCCACCAUAAUGACUAACAUUAAAAUAAAGUAGUGUAUAAGGCCUAAGUAUUCAUUAAAAACAAGGCAAAGGUUUUAUUUAACAAGUAUGGCCUCUGUGUCAUUACACACAGUUUGAACAGUAACACUGUGUUUGAGUACUUAAUUGAUUCUUCGGCGUACCACUAGAUGGAGUUUGAGAAUCACUGCCCUAAGACAAAUAAAUGAUUUUCACGAUCUGAAAGUAAUAAAAGUUGGAAUGGUCACUGGA